UACGUAGGGGGCUAGCGUUGUCCGGAAUUAUUGGGCGUAAAGAGCUCGUAGGCGGUUUGUCGCGUCUGCUGUGAAAACGCGGGGCUCAACUCCGCGCCUGCAGUGGGUACGGGCAGACUAGAGUGCAGUAGGGGAGACUGGAAUUCCUGGUGUAGCGGUGGAAUGCGCAGAUAUUAGGAGGAACACCAGUGGCGGAAGGCGACUUCCUGGACUGUAACUGACGCUGAGGCGGCGAAAGCGUGGGGAGC
rnacentral:rRNA from 1 species